ACAAUACCAUAUUAUUUUUACAUACUUAACUGUUUUGAUUUGCAGUUUCAGAAACAGGAUACACUAAAUGGGUGGAACUACUUGGAUCUGAUUUGCUGUAGUUGCUGAAUUAAGACAUAGGACAAUGUAAAAAAAUUUGCUGAAAUGUAAUCAAUUAAUGCUGAAAUGUAGCUUAUUAAAUAUAAUUAAUAGCUUGUUAAAUAGAAUGAAUAUCUGAAAUCUAAUGAAGGCUUUCCGAACAUAUUGUACAUGCAUCUACUUCAGUAGUCCAUGUUCUAUGUGGAUAUUUGUUUUUACAUUUUAUAAGAUUUCAAGCUGAAGCCAUUAAGAAAACAACCUUUUCCAAUUGCAUUACAGAUCUUUUUUGAGAUACUUUAUCCUUGGGGGAAACUGUCUCCUAUGUCUAUUGAAAUCAAGCCUGAGGAUGAGGCCUUUCUGACCUUAUUAAAAUGUUCUUAUUGAAAUGCAUGCUUAAGCAUGACAAUCGCGAAUGGCUCCUAAUCUACUACAACAGGAUCAGCAAAUCUAUAAUGCAGAAACAAAAAAGUGCGUUGCAAAACUAGAAGGGCACAGAGGCGAAAUUUCAAAGGCAGCAAAGAUAACUCCUGCAGAAUAUGAGCCUGACUAAAGUGAAUGAAAGAUCCAGUUUGGUAUAUGCCUACUUUUUGAGACACAUAGUCAACAAACUCAGUCUUUCAGAUCUGUUUUCUUUUAAGAUAAAAUGAAAUGUUUUCUUGUAUUUCAGUUUGUGCAUGUUGCCUUUUUAUUGUGUACUGCCAAGAAGAGUGGCUUGGUUACCUCAAUCACCUCAGAGAAAUGAUUAGUGUUAAUGAACUCAGUAUGAUGGCCCCAUCCUUUUGUGUAUAAUUUUUAACUUGUACCCCUUUUAAUAAAACAAAAUACAUCACAUGUGAAACAUAAAUACUCUCACCUGUGAAAGGGGUGUUGUUAUGCACUUUCUCUGAGUGCUUUUGGGUUCUUGGUGGUUUCUUUUUUGUGUGUGUAAUAAAUAAUUGAGUAAAAAUGCUACUUUUGCUGCUUGUAAUGCAAUGUCCCUCUCACUAUUUCCAGAGAAAACCAGUAACCAUUUGUGGUUUGCAUUGCUAUUAACUAUUUCAUGC